AUGACUCACAGAGGUGAUGUCCAAACCGCUGCCUCCAUCCCGGCCCCCCAGGCUCCUCCCUCUUUCUGCAGCUGCAACCCGAGAGGCCUCUGCUCCCUCCAGGGAGGGGCCCUGGGACCUGGCGUCAGCUUCCUUGCCUGGCCAGCUGCCUCUGCACACUGCAGGUCACCCGGAUGUCCUGGAUUUCAGGGCAGAGCAGCAUGUUGGGAGAGUCCAGACAGCAGAAGUCUCGUCUCAGGUCAGGUUCCUAGAGGGAGCAGGCUGCUGCCCUCAGGAUCUCGCUUAACCACAAGAGGAGUUGCUGUGAUCACACAGUUCAUUGCCCUUCACAGACUCCAGUACUCCUCAAGAGCUUCAGCCAGCAUGGAGCCCUUGCCAGCCUUCUAAAGGCUGUGUCCUGUAGAGUGUGAUGCUUGGAGCACCGUGUUGAUUUGAGAAAUUGGAAAUUCAGAGCGAUGGAUUGGAAGUACAGGGGGUAGGGGGGACAUGGAAGAGACUUGGGGGAUCAGAAAGGGCUGUGAAAAACCAUGGGACCUGCUGAGAAUAGCAGUGAACAACCCUGAUGAGGCUGGGCAGUGGGUGCUGGAGAGAUCUACCUGGCAUACAAGAAGGAAGCCUUCAUACCGGCCAAUGAAUGAACUUGCGGGAUGAAGAAGAACUUGGGGAAUGGGCAAACCAGCCAGCAGCCUCAGGGCAGUUAGAAGGAUUGGGUUUUUGCUCAAAGAGGACCUCCUUGGCCUGGGACAUACAACAGCCCUUGAGUUGAUGCCCUGCCUAGCUUCCCCGCAGUGCUUACCACCAUAUUGCAUAUUCACUGUCUAUUUAUUGGUUUGGCUCCUCCACUAGGAUACAAGCUCCAGAAGGGCAGGGACACUUGGUCUCUCUUGUCCUCUCCUGCAUCUCCAGCUCCUAGAACGGAGCUUGGCACACUGCAGAGACUUGGUACCUACAUGUGAAUAUGUAUGUGACUGAAUACAUGAGAGCCAUCAAGGAGAUGGGUGGGGAUGGGAGGACCCUGGAGAUAGAUUUGCCAUGGUUCCCAAACUUAGGAUGUCUCAGGAUCACUGGGGCUGGGUUCAAAUGGGGAUUGUUUGGCCCUGUGCCUGAUCAGCUCAGUCUGGGGGUCUGCAUUCACCAGCUCUUCAGACUGUUCUGAGGACCUCAGAUGUUUUGAGGGCCCCACUGAGAAAGCCUGGACUUGCCUUAGAAGCUGCUGGAUUUCCUCCCAUCUCUCCCCCUCCUGGAACAAUCUUCCCUGAACUCAUCUCAGAAUCACUUUGUGCUAUCCAGGCUCUCGCCUUAAACAGCUCUUCUAUAUACAAAUCUUGAUCCAUCACCUUGGGGAAGCCCACCCAGAGUAUCUUGAAGCAGCAGCAGCAAGAGCUUU
rnacentral:lncRNA from 1 species